CCUACGGUGUGCUGCAGUCGAGAAUUAUUCACAAUGGGGGAAACCCUGAUGGUGCGACGCCGCGUGGGGGAAUGAAGGUCUUCGGAUUGUAAACCCCUGGCAUGUGGGAGCAAAUUAAAAAGAUAGUACCACAAGAGGAAGAGACGGCUAACUCUGUGCCAGCAGACGCGGUAAUACAGAGGGCUCAAGCGUUGUUCGGAAUCACUGGGCGUAAGGCGUGAGUAGGCCGUUUCGUAAGUCGUGUGUGAAAGGCGCGGGCUCAACCCGCGGACGGCACAUGAUACUGCGAGACUAGAGUAAUGGAGGGGGAACCGGAAGUCUCGGGGUAGCAGUGAAAUGCGUAGAUAUCGAGAGGAACACUCGUGGCGAAGGCGGGUUCCUGGACAUUAACUGACGCUGAGGCACGAAGGUCAGGGGAGCGAAAGGGAUUAGAUACCCUAGUAGUC
rnacentral:rRNA from 1 species